UGGGGAAUAUUGCACAAUGGGCGCAAGCCUGAUGCAGCCAUGCCGCGUGUGUGAAGAAGGCCUUCGGGUUGUAAAGCACUUUCAGCGAGGAGGAAGGUGGUGAGCUUAAUACGCUCAUCAAUUGACGUUACUCGCAGAAGAAGCACCGGCUAACUCCGUGCCAGCAGCCGCGGUAAUACGGAGGGUGCAAGCGUUAAUCGGAAUUACUGGGCGUAAAGCGCACGCAGGCGGUUUGUUAAGUCAGAUGUGAAAUCCCCGGGCUCAACCUGGGAACUGCAUUUGAAACUGGCAAGCUAGAGUCUCGUAGAGGGGGGUAGAAUUCCAGGUGUAGCGGUGAAAUGCGUAGAGAUCUGGAGGAAUACCGGUGGCGAAGGCGGCCCCCUGGACGAAGACUGACGCUCAGGUGCGAAAAGCGUGGGGCAGCAAACAGGAUUAGAUACCCUGGUAGUCCAGCGCUGUAAAACGAUGUCGAUUUGGAGGUUGUGCCCUUGAGGCGUGGCUUCCGGAGCUAACGCGUUAAAUCGACCGCCUGGGGAGUACGGCCGCAAGGUU
rnacentral:rRNA from 1 species